CACGUAGGGUGCGAGCGUUGUCCGGAAUUAUUGGGCGUAAAGAGCUCGUAGGCGGUGUGUCACGUCGGCCGUGAAAACCUGCAGCUUAACUGUGGGCGUGCGGUCGAUACGGGCAUCACUGGAGUUCGGCAGGGGAGACUGGAAUUCCUGGUGUAGCGGUGAAAUGCGCAGAUAUCAGGAGGAACACCGGUGGCGAAGGCGGGUCUCUGGGCCGAUACUGACGCUGAGGAGCGAAAGCGUGGGGAGCGAACGGG
rnacentral:rRNA from 1 species